rnacentral:lncRNA from 1 species
AGGUCUUUCUACUCCCAAGCUCAUGCCCUUGUUUUGCCCUUGUAGUGUCCAUGGCUACAGUUUUGCAGAGCUGUAAGGGAACACAGAUUGCCGAAGAAGGCUGAGAUCCAAUAUGGCUGUGAGGUGAGAGGGAAAGGGCUCAGGCAAGCCAAGUUGUGACCAGAUUGUGAUGAGCCCUGAAUGCUGUAAGAGUUCUGAACUUUACCCUAUAUCCAGGAGACAAUGGGAAACCAGCCAAGGAAGUUUGAAGACUCUGAACUCCCUUGAGAACAGAGGCUGUAUCUCGUUCAUCUCCAAAUCCUCAGAAACUAGCAUAAUUCCUGUUUCAAGAUUAGCACUCAGUGAAUCUAUUUUGGGACCAGUGAAUGGGAAGUAUUACUUUUAUUUCAACAGUAGAUUUGCAUAUAUUAAGGCUUUAAUAGUAUUUUGAACAUCUAAUGAUUAGUCACAAAUUAAAAUACAAUUUUAUCAUAAAAAUUUUUAAAAAGCACAAAAGCUUUCAUAAAAUAGAGAAAAGAAAAAAAAUUCUAUUCCCAGUUUUCUUUCUUUUUUUAGUGUUAUUUUAAACACUUUCCCAGAAGAAUUUCAGGAUAGUUUGUCAGAUUUGUUUUUUUCUGAAUGUUUUCCUAAAAAUUCCCACUGAGACUAGAAAUGCAUUAAAUGUAGAACAGAUUUGGGACGAACUGCCAUGUUUACUCUUUUUUGUUGUUGUUUUGUUGUUUUGUUUUGUUGUUUUGUUUUGUUUUAGGCAGAAGGGAAUAACUGAUCCCUGCCUCUUAUGUACAGGGCUGGGAAACAGUAAUGGAUGAAGACUGAGCAGUUUUCCAUUGGACACAUGAUUGCUCACGCCAGUUAUGCAAACCUUUUUUUUUUUUUUUCCUGUUUAAGGUGUUUGGGAGUUUUGUUCACUGAGAUUAUUUCAAGGUAUUUUGAUUUCCAUAGUUUUGAGUUCAGAUUAAAAAUAUAAUGUUGGCCAGGAUGUGGAGAAAAUGUAACCCUUGUGCUUUACUGGUGGGAGCGUAAAUUGGUGGAGUCACUAUAGAAAACGGUAUGAAGUUUCCUC